AAUAGAAGACGGGAAGACAGAGGGCGAGAGAAAGACAGACACCUGCAGAUCUGAUUCACCACCUGUCAAGCGACUCCCCUGCAGGUGGGGAGCGGGGCGCUCAACCGGGAUCCUUACGCUGGUCCUUGUGCUUUGUGUCACGUGCGCUUAACCCGCUGCCCCACCGCCUGACUCCCAAGAGAAAAAUUCUUAACUCCUAAUUCUAGCAGAGGUGCACUGUUUUGGCCCACAAAAACUAAAAAAACAAAACAAAACAAAAAACCUCAAAGGAGUUUAUUCUUCACCAAUAUUUGCUUAUUAUGAAAGAGCAGAGCACUACUCAGCUCUGGCAUAGGGUGGUGCUGGGGAUUGAACCUAUGACCUGUAACUUUAGGCAUGCAAGUUGUCAGCUCUCACAGGCACACCUAACUCCCUGGUCCUAACAAUUACACAUUGUUUUCUAGAACAGAGUAUAUUUAUAGUUGAGGCUGUUGGCUAAAUAGCUUCUGGAGAAGUAACAGUGAGAUGUUAAAAUUUGGCCAGACCCUGCGGGUUCCUUAAAGAAUGAGGUGGAAAUUGAAUGUUAAUGAUAAAUAUCUUGCUGGUUACCAGUACAACAGUAAUAAAGUUAUUAAUUUGAGACUGACAGAGACCAUUCAGGAUCAGUGUAUCAAUUCAUGGGACCACGUGAGUUUCUUAAAUGUAAGUCAGAAAUGUUUGUCAUCAGUUCUUCAUUGGUUUAGUGACUGGGGUGGAGGGAGAAGUGAUUAUAGACCUUUGACUUAAAUAUUGCCAUCACCUACACACCCUGCAAGUGCCAGGAGCUAAUUUUGUGACAGGAUUGGCCAACUAGAGUCUGGGCAGAGCACUGCUCAGCUCUGGCUAAUGGUGGUGUGGGGCACUGAACCUGAAACGUUGGAGCCUCAGGCAUCUGUUGACUUUACGUUGCUUGGCUAACUUCCAUACCACCGAACUGACUUCUUGAUACCACCUGACAACCCAUUUCUCACUAAAUAGGGAAGAGGGAGAAAGAGACAGAAAGGAGAGACUCCUGCCACACUGCUCCACCACUUCUGAAGCUUCCUCCCUACAGGUCUGGACUUGGAGAUUGAACCUGGGUUCUUUUUGAAUGAGAAGCUGCUCCUUGAACUUUGUCCUUUGCCUUGCAUGGGAAAAGGCAUGCAAGUAAUGGGUUUGUAGUGCUGGCAGGAGCCAGCAAGUCAAGAGCCUGACCUGCAGUCAUAAAGUAGCAAAGCAGUGAGGUGUAUUAAAUUGUUUCUGUUUUAUUGACAGCCUUCUGACGUCUAAACCAUUUUUUAAUAUUUAUUUUCUCUUUUGUUGCCCUAGUUUUUUUAUUGUUGUUGUUGUAGUUAUUGUUGUUAUUGAUGUCAUCGUUAGAUAGGACAGAGGGGGAGAGAAAGGCACCUGCAGACCCGCUUUAUCACCUGUGAAACAACUCCCCUGCAGGUGGGGAGCAGGGGUGGGGGGGCUGGAACCAGGAUCCUUAUGCUUUGCACCACGUGUACUUAACCCGAUGCGCUACCGCCCUACUCCCCAGUAAACCAUUUUUAAAUAGAAACAGAACCUAUGAUCAUUUAUGGAUUGGACAAAUGCUGCUACCUUAUAUUGUUGAUAGCUUAAUGAGUCCCUCUUAAUGUAUGUGGAAAGCUUAAAUAUUUUUGGAGGGAGAGACAGAGGCUGCUUGAACUGGAUUGGGAAGAUAGCAUAAUAGUACCCUAAGACCUCCAAGCCAGUAGUUUGCCUUUUUCUUAUUAUUAUUAGGACAGAAAUUGAAAGGGAGGCGGUAAAGAGGGAGAGAGACACCUGCAGCACUGCUUCACUGCUCAUGAAGCUCCCCCCUGGAGGUAGGGAAUGAGCGUUCAAAUCCAUGUGCACUACCACAGUGCCAUGUUUUUGUCAGGGGAACUAGGA